rnacentral:tRNA from 1 species
GCGGUCGUGGUCCAAAGGUCAGGAUGCGGGCAUGCCACGCCCCCGGUGCCGGUUCGAUUCCGGCCGACCGCU